CUGCCCUGAGCCGGCUGUCCCACACAGCCCAGCUGGAAGCUCCAGUGGUCAGGCCAGGCAGGCGGCCUCCGGAGGCGCCUUGGGGUGGCCGGAGACGGGGAGGAUCCACCUCUGGGCUGAGCGGGCCACGAUGGGGGCCGUGGCCAGGCCCGGGCCCGGGCCGUAUCAGACUCCGGCACAAGAGAAGUGCAGGGAGCCCCCGCCAGCCAGAAGAGCAGCGGCCACCGCUGUCCAGGGGAUGACAGAGGCCCCUUCUCCAGGCCCCCCUGAGGAGAAGGCCAUCCCCCCUGCAGACACGGGCCAUGUUCACCUCCAGGGAGCUGCUGCUGGUGUGGUUCCUGGUGCUGGCAGUGGGUGGCACUGAGCACGUCUUCCGGCCUGGCCGCAGGGUGUGUGCCAUCGGGGCUCCCAGGGGCCCCGAGUCAGAGUCUUUCGUGCAGCGAGUGUACCAACCCUUCCUCACCACCUGUGACGGGCACCGAGCCUGCAGCACCUACCGGACCAUCUACAGGACUGCCUACCGCCGCAGCCCUGGGCCGGCCGUCCCCAGGCCUCGCUACGCCUGCUGCCCCGGCUGGAAGAGGACCGGCGGGCUCCCCAGGGCCUGUGGAGCAGCAAUAUGCCAGCCACCGUGCCAGAACGGAGGGAGCUGUGUCCAGCCAGGCCGCUGUCACUGCCCUGCAGGAUGGCAGGGCGACACCUGCCAGACAGAUGUGGAUGAGUGCAGGGCUGGAGGGGGCACCUGUCCCCAGCACUGCGUCAACACCGCGGGUAGUUACUGGUGCCAGUGUUGGGAAGGGCACAGCCCAUCUGCAGAUGGUGUGCUCUGCCUGCCCAAGACAGGGGCCCCCAGGGUAGCCCCGAACCCCACAACAGGCGUGGACAGCGCAGUCGAGGAGGAAGUGCAGAGACUUCGGUCAAGGGUGGACGUGCUGGAGCAGACGCUCCCUCUGGUGGACAUCCAGGGCCCUGCAGAGCCCUUACAGGCCCCAGGGUUCCCUAAAAGCCUUGUGGAACAGAGAGGGUCCCUUCUGCCCACAGAAGCUGCAGCUGGUGCUCGCCCCGCUGCAUAGCCUGGCCUCGAGGGCCCUGGAGCACGGGCUCCCGGACCCCAGCAGCCUCCUGGCGCACUCCCUCCAGCAGCUGGACCGCAUCGACUCUCUGAGUGAGCAGAUCUCCCUCCUAGAGGAGCAGCUGGGGUCCUGUUCCUGCGAAAAGGAGCUGUAACAGGCGGCCCGGGCCCCUGGCCCUGGCUCCUGGGAGCCUUGCCCGCUGCGCUAGGUUGGGCCAGAGGGGGACUUCGCGCCAAGGCAGGGUGGGAGGAGGGGUCCCCCUAGGUGUGAUCCAGCCCCAGCCCGGCCAGCACCAGUGAGGGGGGCCGUGGCUCAGGGGAGGUACGAGGGUCUUGCUCGUUGGGGGCACCUCUGCUCCGUGUCAGAAUAAAAUGAAGG